rnacentral:tRNA from 1 species
GCCCGGCUGGUUCAAUUGGUAGAACAUGUGACUCUUGAUCUCUUGGGGUUGUGAGUUUGAGCCUCAUGUUGGGGG